GAUGAAAACGCAGCGAAAUGCGAUACGUAGUGUGAAUUGCAGAAUUCAGUGAAUCAUCGAAUCUUUGAACGCACAUUGCACCUCUCGGUAUUCCGGGAGGUAUGCCUGUUCGAGCGUCAUUUGUACCCUCAAGCUCUGCUUGGUGUUGGGUGUUUGUUCCGCCUCUGUGUGUGAACUCGCCUCAAAACAAUUGGCAGCCGGCGUACUUGUUUCGGAGCGCAGCACAUUUUGCGAUCCAGAUCAACGUACAGCGGCAUCCAAGAAGCCUUAUUUAACGCUCUUGACCUCGGAUCAGGUAGGGAUACCCGCUGAACUUAAGCAUAUCAAUAAGCGGAGGA
rnacentral:misc_RNA from 1 species